UGACAGUCACUGCUGCCUGCAAACCUUCUGCAAAUGUCAAACCCAUUACCCGGCAGAGGAAGACAGGGUUUUAAUUGAACGUUUUCUCCAACCUUCAGCCCUCCCCAGCGAUAACAGGAUUGCUGGUGGCAUGACGGCCUUUUUGCAAGACCCAGACUGGAAAAAGCACAUGAUCUCCACAGAAAUGUGUGGACUGGAAUAAGUCUGACCUUCUGUUUGUUUUUUGAUGUCCUCGUCUCUUCUGCCUGCCAACAUUUUCUGCUCGCAGAAGAAGGACUACCUGUCACAACGGGUCUUCAUGAAGCAAUUUCAUUCAGCAGAAGAUUCUGUUCACAUCUCCAGGACUUCACUGCUCCUCAAGUUGGAAAGGAGCCCCUCAAGGGAUUGCACAUCUUUAGCCAACAUGGUGUGAUCUGAUAUCCAAAUGAUUCUUUCAAGAGAUGUACCCAAACCAGAAACUUUUACAGAAGAGUGGCCUUGGAAUCUUGUCAAACACAGAAAAGUUGAAGGAGCCUCAGAUAGCUUGGCAUGGAGAAGAAAGGAUAUGGAGGAGAAAGAAGAGAGGCAUGGACAAUGAUUAGAAUGAUGACCCUGAUAACGGUUCUUAGUCACUGGUCAGGAUAAUUUCCACAAAAGCUAUUGGGAUUCAGGAUAACACUCAGUUGACCAGAAAGCUAUCUACAAGAAACUUCUAUUCCUCCAGGGCUCCGGUUAGUUAGGGUUUUAUUGCACUGACCUGGUUGCAUGAGUGACAAUGUGUGGCAGAUGCCUCAACCCUGACUCUGUGGGAUAAACCUGCUGAUCUCAGAUAGAUGCGGAGACUGGACCAGCCAAGCACGCAGGGACUGUACGCUGUUUAGAUGAGCACUGAAAUACACCAAGAAGGUCCUUAAUAUCUACCCAGUGUCUCUAUUCUCCAUGCUUCCCCAGGUAGCAUAAUGUUCUAUAUGGUUCUGACCAUAAGCUCAGAAGUGGAGUAUAAAUGCGACUUCUGUUAUUUUUUAAUAUAACAGCCUGUCUUCUAAUUCAAGCCCACAUUCCGCCUAUUUAAUCCAGAUUUUCUGGGUUGUUUUAGAUAUAAACUCAAUUCAGAAAGUCCCCUUUUUUUCUCUAGAUUCUGAAUGCUGAUGUGGGUGAAAGAGAAGGAGGUUAUGAGGGGUCCAGAUGUUGGAAGGGUCAUCUGGAUCUUAGCUAUUAUGACCUGGGAUGAGAUGUAUAUCAUCUUUAAUGGUUCUUAGUCACUGGUCUCUGUUCCUACCAAUAUCCACUGAAAUGUCUGUAUUCACUCCCUGCCAUGUGGCUAUAGUUACACAUACAGGAGUGGGCGAACAUAAGUUUACAGUUGUUCAUAUGGAAAAAGACAUGCAGGUUAUGAUUAUAAUAAAACAAGAAUAAACUCUGUGUUUCGUGUAUUUACAACUGCAAACCUACUUUGCCCAUCCCUGUAUUUACAAUCUGUUUGUCUCUCAGGUUUAUAGGUCCUUGCAACCAAUUUCAAGACUCUCUGAGGAACUGUUCACAUUUUUUUUGGUUGUGGGG